UACGAAGGGGGCUAGCGUUGCUCGGAAUCACUGGGCGUAAAGCGCACGUAGGCGGACUCUUAAGUCGGUGGUGAAAUCCCGGAGCUCAACUCCAGAACUGCCUUCGAUACUGAGAGUCUUGAGUCCGGGAGAGGUAAGUGGAACUGCGAGUGUAGAGGUGAAAUUCGUAGAUAUUCGCAAGAACACCAGUGGCGAAGGCGGCUCACUGGCCCGGUACUGACGCUGAGGUGCGAAAGCGUGGGGAGCAAACAGG
rnacentral:rRNA from 1 species